AGGGUAAUAGCUCAGUGGUAGAGCACAUGCUUAGUGUGCACGAGGUCCUGGGUUCAUCCCCCGGUACCUCCA
rnacentral:tRNA from 1 species